UCUACAUGCAGUCGACGAGAACGUGUCCUUCGGGACGCAAGUACAGUGGCGCACGGGUGAGUAACGCGUAGGCAACCUGCCCUCGAGUGGGGAAUAACCAUCGGAAACGGUGGCUAAUACCGCAUGCUGUCGCACAUUGCAUGAUGUGCGAUGAAAGUCUUCGGACGCUCAAGGAUGGGCCUGCGUCGGAUUAGCUUGUAGGUAGGGUAACGGCCUACCUAGGCUACGAUCCGUAGCUGGUCUGAGAGGACGAUCAGCCACACUGGCACUGAUACACGGGCCAGACUUCUACGGAAGGCACAUAGGGAAUAUUGGGCAAUGGGCGAAAGCCUGACCCAGCCACGCCGCGUGGAGGAAGACACCCCUAUGGGGCGUAAACUCCUUUUAUAUGGGAAGAACACCUCCCUCAGGAGGCUUGGCGGUGACCGUAUGAAUAACACCGGCUAACUCCGUGCCAGCAGCCGCGGUAAUACGGAGGGCGCAAGCGUUGUCCGGAUUCACUGGGUGUAAAGGGUGUGUAGGCGGGACGGUAUGUCAGAGGUGAAAGCCCACGGCUCAACCGUGGAACUGCCUUUGAAACUGCCGUUCUUGAGUCUCGGGAAGGUCGCUGGGAAUUCGUGAUGUAUGGUGAAAUGCGUAGAUAUCACGAGGAACACCAGAGGCGUAGGCGGGGCGACUGGACGAGUACUGACGCUGAGGGACGGAAGCGUGGGAAGCAAACAGGAUUAAGAUAGCCCUGGUAGUCCGCGGCAGUAAACCGAUGGAUGGCUCCGCUGUUGGGCCGUC
rnacentral:rRNA from 1 species